rnacentral:rRNA from 2 species
CGUGGGGAGCUAUACAUGCAGUCGAGCGGACCGACGGGAGCUUGCUCCCUUAGGUCAGCGGCGGACGGGUGAGUAACACGUGGGUAACCUGCCUGUAAGACUGGGAUAACUCCGGGAAACCGGGGCUAAUACCGGAUGCUUGAUUGAACCGCAUGGUUCAAUCAUAAAAGGUGGCUUUUAGCUACCACUUACAGAUGGACCCGCGGCGCAUUAGCUAGUUGGUGAGGUAACGGCUCACCAAGGCGACGAUGCGUAGCCGACCUGAGAGGGUGAUCGGCCACACUGGGACUGAGACACGGCCCAGACUCCUACGGGAGGCAGCAGUAGGGAAUCUUCCGCAAUGGACGAAAGUCUGACGGAGCAACGCCGCGUGAGUGAUGAAGGUUUUCGGAUCGUAAAACUCUGUUGUUAGGGAAGAACAAGUACCGUUCGAAUAGGGCGGCACCUUGACGGUACCUAACCAGAAAGCCACGGCUAACUACGUGCCAGCAGCCGCGGUAAUACGUAGGUGGCAAGCGUUGUCCGGAAUUAUUGGGCGUAAAGCGCGCGCAGGCGGUUUCUUAAGUCUGAUGUGAAAGCCCCCGGCUCAACCGGGGAGGGUCAUUGGAAACUGGGGAACUUGAGUGCAGAAGAGGAGAGUGGAAUUCCACGUGUAGCGGUGAAAUGCGUAGAGAUGUGGAGGAACACCAGUGGCGAAGGCGACUCUCUGGUCUGUAACUGACGCUGAGGCGCGAAAGCGUGGGGAGCGAACAGGAUUAGAUACCCUGGUAGUCCACGCCGUAAACGAUGAGUGCUAAGUGUUAGAGGGUUUCCGCCCUUUAGUGCUGCAGCAAACGCAUUAAGCACUCCGCCUGGGGAGUACGGUCGCAAGACUGAAACUCAAAGGAAUUGACGGGGGCCCGCACAAGCGGUGGAGCAUGUGGUUUAAUUCGAAGCAACGCGAAGAACCUUACCAGGUCUUGACAUCCUCUGACAACCCUAGAGAUAGGGCUUCCCCUUCGGGGGCAGAAUGACAGGUGGUGCAUGGUUGUCGUCAGCUCGUGUCGUGAGAUGUUGGGUUAAGUCCCGCAACGAGCGCAACCCUUGAUCUUAGUUGCCAGCAUUCAGUUGGGCACUCUAAGGUGACUGCCGGUGACAAACCGAAGGAAGGUGGGGAUGACGUCAAAUCAUCAUGCCCCUUAUGACCUGGGCUA